rnacentral:misc_RNA from 1 species
AAUCUUCAACCUUUUACCGUUUCUUGGAAUCGGGAGAAGGCUUGGACUUUGGAGGCCAUUGCUGAUCUCUUAUCUGAAGUCAGCUCCUCUUAAACGAAUUAGUGAGGUUGUCCUUUUGCCGAUCCUCGGACGUGAUAAGUUUGCUUUUACGUCCUUGAGUUUCGGUCAACCCUUUCAAGGCCUUGCUUCUAAACCGUUUCGAGUCAAACUCUUGAAACAUAUGAACCC